GCCGGGCACGGUGGUGCAUGCCUGUAGUCCCAGCUACUCAGGAGGCUGAGGUGGGAGGAUCGCUUGAGCCCAGGAGUUCUGGGCUGCAGUGCGCUAUGCUGAUCGGGUGUCUGCACUAAGUUUGGCAUCAAUAUGGUGAACUCCUGAGAGUGGGGGACCACCAGGUUGCCUAAGGAGGGGUGAACCGGCCCAGGUCGGAAGUGGAGCAGGUCAAAACUCCCUUGCUGAUCAGUAGUGGGAUCAAGCCUGUGAAUAGCCACUGCACUCCAGCCCGGGCAACAUAGCGAGACCCUGUCUCU
rnacentral:SRP_RNA from 1 species